AUCAGGGGUAAACCUGUGGAACUCGAACGAGUGAACGGGGAGACUCAUCUGUUCUCCGGGCGUCCGCGGUGCGACGUUGACGGUGUCAUUAUUGGCGUCGCUCGUUGUGCCGUAGCAAGGCGUCCGGAAGCGGUGCACUUCUCCCUUAGUAAAACACCGCGACCCGUUGCGGGUGGGUCGAACGCACCGUCAGUUGUCCCGUUUUCUCCUUUAACCGGGAGGUGCGGAGCUGUGGUGUCGUGACUCCCCUGCGACGGUAGAGAACGAGGAUCGCUUCCGCCCCUCGGGCGUCUGUUGUGUGGCGGCGUCGUUCCCCGUAUGGUCUUCGGCGUCAUGCGUCGUGGUAUCGUGCGCGGUUGCCGGACGAGGUUUUCAAUCUCGUCCGUCGCGAACGGCGCGUCUGUUGCGCAAAUUCGGACGGGAAGCGUCCCGGUCGGCGGUG
rnacentral:rRNA from 1 species